UACAUGGGGUGCAAACGUUGCUCGGAAUUAUUGGGCGUAAAGCGCGCGUAGGCGGUUACUCAAGUCGGAUGUGAAAGCCCUCGGCUUAACUGAGGAAGUGCACCCGAAACUGGAUAGCUAGAGUACGAAAGAGGGUCGCGGAAUUCCCGGUGUAGAGGUGAAAUUCGUAGAUAUCGGGAGGAACACCGGUGGCGAAGGCGGCGACCUGGGUCGAGACUGACGCUGAGGCGCGAAAGCGUGGGGAGCAAACAGG
rnacentral:rRNA from 1 species